rnacentral:rRNA from 1 species
GAUGAACGCUGGCGGCGUGCCUAAUACAUGCAAGUCGAGCGAACAGAUGAGGAGCUUGCUCCUCUGACGUUAGCGGCGGACGGGUGAGUAACACGUGGAUAACCUACCUAUAAGACUGGGAUAACUUCGGGAAACCGGAGCUAAUACCGGAUAAUAUAUUGAACCGCAUGGUUCAUUAGUGAAAGACGGUCUUGCUGUCACUUAUAGAUGGAUCCGCGCCGCAUUAGCUAGUUGGUAAGGUAACGGCUUACCAAGGCAACGAUGCGUAGCCGACCUGAGAGGGUGAUCGGCCACACUGGAACUGAGACACGGUCCAGACUCCUACGGGAGGCAGCAGUAGGGAAUCUUCCGCAAUGGGCGAAAGCCUGACGGAGCAACGCCGCGUGAGUGAUGAAGGUCUUCGGAUCGUAAAACUCUGUUAUUAGGGAAGAACAAAUGUGUAAGUAACUAUGCACGUCUUGACGGUACCUAAUCAGAAAGCCACGGCUAACUACGUG